AACGAACGCUGGCGGCAGGCCUAACACAUGCAAGUCGAGCGAUCGCAGCAAUGCGGGAGCGGCAGACGGGUGAGGAACACGUGGGAACAUACCCUUUGGUUCGGAAUAACUCAGGGAAACUUGAGCUAAUACCGGAUAAGUCGGCAACGAGAAAGAUUCAUCGCCGAAGGAUUGGCCCGCGUCCGAUUAGCUAGUUGGUGAGGUAAUGGCUCACCAAGGCGACGAUCGGUAGCUGGUCUGAGAGGAUGAUCAGCCACAUUGGGACUGAGACACGGCCCAAACUCCUACGGGAGGCAGCAGUGGGGAAUAUUGGACAAUGGGCGCAAGCCUGAUCCAGCCAUGCCGCGUGAGUGAUGACGGCCCUAGGGUUGUAAAGCUCUUUCACCCACGACGAUAAUGACGGUAG
rnacentral:rRNA from 1 species